rnacentral:rRNA from 1 species
UACGUAGGGGGCAAGCGUUAUCCGGAGUUACUGGGCGUAAAGGGCGUGUAGGCGGUUUGUUAAGUCUGGCGUGAAAGCUCUCGGCUAAACCGGGAGAGGUCGUUGGAUACUGGCGAACUAGAGGAUGGUAGAGGCGUGUGGAAUUCCGGGUGUAGUGGUGAAAUGCGUAGAGAUCCGGAGGAACAUCAGUUGCGAAGGCGGCUCUCUGGACCAGCACUGACACUGAGGCACGAAAGCGUGGGGAGCAAACAGG